rnacentral:tRNA from 1 species
UCCCUUAUGGCUCAAAUGGUAAAGAAUCCACCUGCAAUGUGGGAGACCUGGGUUCAAUUCCUGGGUUGGGAA